GGGCGGGUGACCGAGAGGCUGAAGGUGCAGCACUGGAAAUGCUGUGUACGGGCAACUGUACCCGUGGGUUCGAAUCCCACCCCGUCCGCCA
rnacentral:tRNA from 1 species